AGAAAUGCUGUGAAAAGGAAGAGUAAGCAGAUAAACUGUUAAAAGAGAGGAAAGCUCAUAGGCUGAAAAGUUUUCUUAACAGAGUUUGUUGAAAACCACCUUUGAGCUGUAUACUGAAAUAUAAGUAAGUAUAUCCGUUUCCUGCGUUAAAGGAUAAAAGAAAAUAAUAGAGUAAGUUUUUCUAUUAUUAACUUGGGUGGAACCACGGUGUGAAAUCGUCCCAUUU
rnacentral:ncRNA from 1 species